UCCUGUUUUUCUUUCCUUCCUGUUUCGAUGGUGUUUUUAAAAUGCCUUUUCUUGUCUGGAACUAAAUUAAAUUCCAAAAUACCUAGUUAUUUUUGCCAAAUAAUAUCUGUAAUUGAUGUGGUGAGUGCUUGGAGAUGAUUUUCCAGAUAUUCUGAUUUGUCUACUGUUUAGUCGGCCGAUUUUUGUGUUCUAUCUUUUGUUUGACCGACUGCCAUCUUUCUUUUGCGACGACGCUGUCUUCACAUGGAAAUGCAUUUCAUGAAGUUACCAAGUUAAAUAAUGGCUAAAUAUUAAUAAUUACGGUGAACCGUGAUAUUCUAAACCCCCAUAACAUUGUGGCUGUUAUGAGGUUCAGGAAAUGUCUACCCUCCAACCACCCAUAUCAGCUCAUGUCAAAUCAAAUGGACUACGCCAGAAGACUCGCUCCGUCGCCCCUUCAUUCAGCUUCACCCACUUGAUCAUCGUUUCGCUACGGAGGUCGCCGGCUCGCUUCGCUCGCCACCUCCCCCUUCGCUAUUUAAUUUAGAAUUAACACUAAAUUAUUUUAAAAAGCAUUUAUUCAACUUUAUAUACAUAUUUUAUUGCCUUAAUCAUUUCUAUAAAAGGGUACAACUUUUUUUUGAACACUUCUCUCCGCCACAAAUAUUCCACACACAAAUCACUAAAGUUUUGUUGAUUGUUAUAAUUGUCUUUAUAGAAGAAUCUCUUCACCACUCGCCACUGUGACUAUACGCUGGGUAUGGGUACCAUCAGGAGCAAUGAAGGGAUUGUCUGGGUCGCUGUGAUUCACUUUUUUAUGAAUGUAACCAUGAUCACCCAGACAAUCGUGUGCCCUCCAAAAGUCCGUGUGAAUGGUUGUGCCCUUCUCUACAUGUUUUUCUGUUAGUGGCACCAAAACCUCUGCCGAUCUUAUAUUUUCUGGGCACACCUCCAACCGUAGAUCCUCACUACCAUCCUCUAUGAGGCCAAAAACCCAAUGUCCUUCAAUGUGUCUCCCUGAAACAAACAAAAAAGAUAUAUUAAAUCUUAACUCAAAGUAUUAUCAUAAUAUUAUUAUAGUGUGUGAGAGGUCGCUAUUAUCCAAUAGAACCUAAGUGCCCGGCCUAAACCUAACCUAACCUUUUGCUCUCUCCCCACUCUAAAACUAUAAAAUAAAAUUAGUUUACCUUUUGUCACAAAUAAAUUUUUCACCGGCCGAUAGGUAGGUGAAAAAUUUUAAAAAAUUAUUUAAAAAACAAAAAAAAAAUCGUUAUAGUUAGGUUAAGUUAUGAAUGACAAUGUAAAUCAAGUUAAUAAAUAAAAAAAAUAAACUACAAUGAAAUCUUACUUCCAGCUGACGAAAAUAUAAACGGAGAAUAGAUAUAGGAAAACCUUCGGGCGUAGAUAUAGGAAAACCUUCGGGCGCCAGCCAGCUGGAUAGAAAUCUGCUCAGAUAGACUCGCUGAAGCCUGGACUUUUAAUCGCAAGUCAGGGAUUUGGUCCUCCUAGCCGUGCUCUCUAUUCGAGCCGACAAUUGUAACAAAGAUUGGUGAAUAAAAAUCAAAGAAAUAUAUUUAGAAUUUAAAAUUAAUUUAUUAAAUUUCCAAAAUUUUGAGAUUUUAUUUACUAAAGAGAAAAAAAUACGACAAUUUAUAAUACCGUCCCUUUGUUCUUUGUCUUAACUUAAUGUCAUAUAUAUAGAAUACAAAGAUUUAAAAUAAACAAACUUAUAGUAACCUGGGCCACAUGGCCACACACGAGGUUAUAAAAA